GUGACUGCCCUGGAGACUUAGCUCCUCUGUUUAUCCACAGACCAGAUACAGCACGGGCAGCGGCAGUGCAAGCCACCCCCAGCCACCCCGUGCCACUGUGUCCCAACCCUGACCUGGAGGGACCAGCUCUCGGGGUAAGAGAGGGAUUCUGGCUUGUUCAGUGCACCUUCUCCCUCUGAGAGGCC
ensembl:misc_RNA